rnacentral:tRNA from 1 species
GCCUAGUUAGCUGGGAGGGUAGAGAGUCUGCCUGGUAAGCACUAGGGAACGGGUUCGAUUCCCGCUCUGGGCA